rnacentral:misc_RNA from 1 species
UCUCUCCCUCCCUCUCUCUCUCUCCUCCCCUUCCCCCCGCCCUCCUCCUUGUUCCUUUUUUUCUCUUUUCUUUUUUCUGUCCCACCCCAAAACUGAUAAACUAGAUAACUAUUAUUUGUUAACUGUUGGAUGUUGUUGAUAAAUGUAAGAUGUGUGAGUGAGGUAAAGUGUUGAGGAUCAUAUUCUAUCCUGGGACUCUUUCAGCUUCGUUUUGUUGCCAUUGUCUGUGCUGGACAUUGUCAAUUUUUUGUUUGCUUUCUUGGUGCUGAGGAUACAAACUUUAAUUUGCUGGUUCAAUAUAUAUAUAUGUGUGUGUGUGCG